AUGCAUGGUAAAAUUAUCAUAUUUUGUCUGAUCUCGGAAGCUAAGCAGGGUCGGUCUUGGUUGGUACUUGGGUGGGAGACCAUCUGGGAAUACCAGGUGCUGUAGGCAUU
ensembl:rRNA 5S_rRNA 5S ribosomal RNA